UUUCGCAAUGCCCGAAAGGGUGACGAAGCGACGCCGCGUGCGGGAAGAAGGCCUUCGGGUUGUAAACCGCUGUCGGGAGUUAAGAAAUGUAAGGAUGUUAAUAGCGUCUUUACUUGACUAAGGCUCCGGAGGAAGCCACGGCUAACUCUGUGCCAGCAGCCGCGGUAAUACAGAGGCGGCAAGCGUUGUUCGGAAUUAUUGGGCGUAAAGAGCACGUAGGCGGCCUUGUAAGUCAGUUGUGAAAGCCUUCUGCUUAACGGAAGAACAGCAUCUGAUACUGCAAGGCUAGAGUGCGGAAGGGGAGAGUGGAACUUCUGGUGGAGCGGUGAAAUGCGUAGAUAUCAGAAGGAACACCGGCGGCGAAGGCGACUCUCUGGUCCGUAACUGACGCUGAGUGUGCGAAAGCUAGGGGAGCAAACGGGAUUAGAUACCCCGGUAGUCCUAGCCGUAAACGAUGGGCACUAAGUAGAGGGGUUUUA
rnacentral:rRNA from 1 species